rnacentral:pre_miRNA from 13 species
AGGUUCCUAUUGUUUGGAAGACUAGUGAUUUUGUUGUUAAAUGCUUAGAGAAAACAAUAAGUCUCUAGUCUCCUGACGAAGGAUGCCU